GUAUGCAGAAAUAGUAAUAGCUCGGUAUCUAAUUGUACAGAUAAAUACCCAUGCUGUCUUGAACUGAAUCUGGACCGUGUGAAGCAUAUUUGCCACGAUGGUAUCACGAUUGCCGGGAUAACAAGUGCAAAGAAUUUAUUUACGGUGGAUGUCAGGGGAAUGAUAACAAUUUUCAUACUAGAGCAGAUUGCGAAAAAGAAUGCGGAGGUGACUGCUGUUUACCUGUUGAUCCUGGUACGUGUAAAGGUUCCAUUUCCAGAUGGUACUUCGACUGUGAAAUAAAUGAGUGUAUAGAGUUCAUAUACGGAGGAUGUGAAGGAAACAACAAUAAUUUUGAAACGGAAGAAGCGUGUAGACGACAUUGCGAUGGACCAUGCCCGUGUCCUGAAGGAUUUCUGGGGCAAAUGUGUUGGUUGAAUUGUGACGUUUGUGAUGAACAUGCAUCAACGACGCCAAACUAUAUUUGUUGCGACGACGGUAGCUGCCCGGCACCAGCAUGUCUUGGAGGAGUAUACACGCCAGAAGGAUUUUGUGAGUUGGACUGCGAGUAUUACUCGCCAGGAGAUGUAGUAAACGAAGAUUGU
rnacentral:lncRNA from 1 species